rnacentral:rRNA from 1 species
UACGAAGGGGGCUAGCGUUGCUCGGAAUCACUGGGCGUAAAGCGCACGUAGGCGGAUUGCUAAGUCAGGGGUGAAAUCCUGGAGCUCAACUCCAGAACUGCCCUUGAUACUGGCGGUCUCGAGUCCGGGAGAGGUGAGUGGAACUGCGAGUGUAGAGGUGAAAUUCGUAGAUAUUCGCAAGAACACCAGUGGCGAAGGCGGCUCACUGGCCCGAUACUGACGCUGAGGCACGAAAGCCAGGGGAGCAAACGGG